rnacentral:rRNA from 1 species
UACGGAGGGUGCAAGCGUUAUCCGGAUUUACUGGGUUUAAAGGGUGCGUAGGUGGGCAGGUACGUCAGUGGUGAAAUCUCCGGGCUUAACUCGGAAACUGCCAUUGAUACUAUUUGUCUUGAAUAUCCUGGAGGUAAGCGGAAUAUGUCAUGUAGCGGUGAAAUGCUUAGAUAUGACAUAGAACACCCAUUGCGAAGGCAGCUUACUACGGGAUUAUUGACACUGAGGCACGAAAGCGUGGGGAUCAAACAGG